rnacentral:lncRNA from 1 species
AUGGAUGUGGUGGCGCUGUUCGGUCUGAGGGGCAUCCAGCACACUCCCAUCAGCAUCAAGAAUGCCCGCGUGUCUCAGGUACGGCCUAGGCAAGGAUGGAAGGGGCAGACCCCUGGCCCCACCCUCUACCCCAGAGCUCACAUGCCCUAUUCCCACUUCCCUCCCAGCACUACAAGGCCAGCCUCACUGCCACAUUCAACCUGUUUCCGGAGGCCAAGUUUGCUGUGGUCCUGGAAGAGGACCUGGACAUUGCCGUGGAUUUUUUCAGGUGAGGGAGGUUUCUAGGUUUCAGGUGAGGUCCCUGGGUCUCUAGGAGAGAAAGCAGCAGGGUGUCUUGGGAGCUUUCUGGAGGAAGUGAGCUCAAAAUGGGAGAAAGCCUGAGCAGAGGCAGGAUGGUGGGUGCUGGGGCUGGAGCAAAAGGUAGAAGGAUGAAUGGAAACAGCAGAGAUUUGGGGGUUGACUCCUGAGUCCCAGCUCUUCCAGCUUCACUGCGUGACUGGGUUUGUCCUUGCCCCUUUCUCGACUCUUGGACCUUGGCUCUCUCAGUUUCCUGAGCCAAUCCAUCCACCUACUGGAGGAGGAUGACAGCCUGUACUGCAUCUCUGCCUGGAAUGACCAGGUAGGCUGGGUGGCCAGGGGUUGGGAGGCGGGUUUCUUGAGGCCACAAGCUAAUACAGCUCCCUGCCCCCAGGGGUAUGAACAUACAGCUGAGGAC